rnacentral:rRNA from 1 species
GGCUGCUUACACUGCAAGUCGAGCGAUGAGUUCCUUCCGGAACGGAUUAGCGGCGGACGGGUGAGUAACACGUGGGUAACCUGCCUCAUAGAGGGGAAUAGCCUUCCGAAAGGAAGAUUAAUACCGCAUAAGAUUGUAGUAUUGCAUGAUACAGCAAUUAAAGGAGUAAUCCGCUAUGAGAUGGACCCGCGUCGCAUUAGCUAGUUGGUGAGGUAACGGCUCACCAAGGCGACGAUGCGUAGCCGACCUGAGAGGGUGAUCGGCCACAUUGGGACUGAGACACGGCCCAGACUCCUACGGGAGGCAGCAGUGGGGAAUAUUGCACAAUGGGGGAAACCCUGAUGCAGCAACGCCGCGUGAGUGAUGACGGUCUUCGGAUUGUAAAGCUCUGUCUUCAGGGACGAUAAUGACGGUACCUGAGGAGGAAGCCACGGCUAACUACGUGCCAGCAGCCGCGGUAAUACGUAGGUGGCAAGCGUUGUCCGGAUUUACUGGGCGUAAAGGGAGCGUAGGUGGAUAUUUAAGUGGGAUGUGAAAUACUCGGGCUUAACCUGGGUGCUGCAUUCCAAACUGGAUAUCUAGAGUGCAGGAGAGGAAAGUAGAAUUCCUAGUGUAACGGUGAAAUGCGUAGAGAUUAGGAAGAAUACCAGUGGCGAAGGCAACUUUCUGGACUGUAACUGGACCUGAAGCUCGAAAGCGUGGGGAGCCAAACGGAAUUGAAACCCUGGGAAUCCACGCCGUAAACGAUGAAUACAAGGUGUAGGGGUUGGCAUGACCUCUGGGCCGCCGAAAACGCUUUAGUAUUCUCCCUGGGGAAAACAGACCCCAAAAUUAAAACUCCAAGAAUUGGACGGGGCCCCCCCAAGCAGGGGAACCAAGGGUGUUUA